UGACAUUCUACAGUUCCAUGAGUAAAAGAAAUAGAAGUAAAGAAAAAGGUGUCCGGUGCCUGGGCAGGAGCAUCACCUGGAAGCUUAUGGCGUUCUUUUUGGAGGGCCGAUUGAAUGUGAUCGUUGUGAUGCCAUCUUCAGACGUUACCAGGAUGUCCUUAGACUCCUGGGCUUUUUUAUCAGCUCCACCCUUUCCCUGGCUCGAGGUUUCAGAUGAACUCAAACUGGAUUUGAGGUCCAUGGCAGUUUCCUGAGGAGUAAGUGACAAAGACCUUCAAUCUUCAAAACAAGUAAUUUGAGAAGCAUAGUAUGCUAAUAAAAACAGCUAUGCAGCCAAAA
rnacentral:lncRNA from 1 species